GUGGGUCUUGUACGUGUGCGUGAAUACUUAUUGAAGCUAUUCAAAUUCCAAAUGAAAUAAAGCCUAAGCUAAAGCCUACACGUGGGAGUAAAAUUCUCUAAAUCAAACAACAUAUUGAGACUAAGUUUCAAUGUUCAUUCGACUUGGUAUUUGAGAGAUUCUUCCUUAAACUAUGUUGACCGAUUAUAAGGUGAGAGGUUAGAGCUUUAUGUGGGUUAUUUAAUUAUUUUCAAAUCAUUACUUGAGUUAGUAGAGGGCCACGACAUGGUUAGUGAGGUGUGGUAUAGUUAAGUUCUAGGCUUAUAAAUAGAUCCAUAUUUCCUUAUUUUUUUCCUCACUCAAAGAAGCCAAACCUCUCAAACAUUCUCCCUCUCGUUCCUGUCAUUCCAAAAUCUUGUUCUUCCAUUUUCUUGUGCUCAUUUGUUUCAUCUAUAGCCAAAAUCUUACCCCACAAACAUCAUAUCAUCAUACACUACCUCAACCCAUAACCAUACACAACCAUAAUCAUCUCAUAUAUAUAUAUAUAUAUAUCUUUCAUCGUAUUGGCGUCACCAUCACCAUCAUUUUACAUUCAAGUUUUAGUGCUCAACUAGAUCUCAUAAGGUUUCAUAAGAAAAUUAUUGUUUCUCAAGGAUCACUCUUAUUGCAAUCAAGGCUAGGACUCCACAUUCGAGGUAAGGAAAUUAAGUAGAAAAAUAUAAGUUUUCUGUAUGUAAUAACAUUCAUAGAAAGAGUGGGAAUAGUAAAAGAGAAGUUAACUAAGGUCUUCUGCCUGACUCUUUAUUGUAUGUUAUUUAUUGUACUGUAUAAUAUAUAUUUAAAUAAUAUGUUUAUAAGAUUCAUGUUAUUUAUGUAUGUUUACAGUAUUAGAGCAUGGCCAUUGCUAAGGAUAUAUAUUUAAAUAAUAUGUUUAUAAGAUUCAUGUUAUUUAAGUAUGUAUGUAAAUAGUGUGUUUAUAAGAUUCACAUUAUUUAGUUAUGAUUGUUUUGUUAUUUAAAUAAUGUAUAGUAGUUUGCCAUUAUUUAAAUUAGGUAGAUUAUAAUGUGACAUGGUUUGACCGAGAAGAUAAUGGUUAAAUACUUGACUGUUGGAUCUAUAUGGUAGAUAGGGGGCCAUUUAGUAGUGGGUACGAUUUUACUGAACCCAGCCCUCCGCCAUUUAGUCCAAUAGCUCGAGUUUAUUUGCCAAAAUUGGACUCGGGCAUAAUCAUUAUUAUGUGAUUUAGCUUAGAACCUAAUUAUUAGUGACUAGUGAUAUGAUUAAGUUUAUGUUUUGCUAUCUGCCUAAAUAUUUGCAUGUGCAUUUUAAUUAAGUUUUAUUUUUAUUUAUGUGACUACCUGACACACAUUUCCUUACUGAGUUUAGUAGCUCACCCUUAUCAAAUUACCAUGUGCAGACCAAGGUAAUUGAAAGUCUAGAAUGUCGGUGGCGAGUGGAACUUUGGACGCUUGUGUGUGUGAACUCGCUGAGGGCCAUAUAACUGCGGGCGGUCUAGGGCACUCUAUUUAUUUAUUUAUGCUAUUAAGUUUAUGUCGCAAUUAUUUUAGUUAUUAUUUAUUAUGUCUUUUGUACAAAAA